GCUCGUGUGGUGUAACGGUGUGCACAAUUCCCUGUCAAGGAAUAGGCAGCGGGUUCAACUCCCGUCACGAGCGC
rnacentral:tRNA from 2 species